rnacentral:rRNA from 1 species
UACACGACCGUACCGCAAACCGACACUGGUGCGCGAGAUGAGUAUUCUAAGGCGCUUGAGAGAACUCAGGAGAAGGAACUCGGCAAAUUGACACCGUAACUUCGGAAGAAGGUGUGCCUUUAGUAGGUGAACCUGUACAAGGGGAGCCCAAUGAGGUUGCAAAAAAUCGGUGGCUGCGACUGUUUAAUAAAAACACAGCACUCUGCAAACACGAAAGUGGACGUAUAGGGUGUGACGCCUGCCCGGUGCUGGAAGAUUAAAUGAUGGGGUGCAAGCUCUUGAUUGAAGUCCCAGUAAACGGCGGCCGUAACAAUAACGGUCCUAAGGUAGCGAAAUUCCUUGUCGGGUAAGUUCCGACCUGCACGAAUGGCGUAACGAUGGCCACACUGUCUCCUCCUGAGACUCAGCGAAGUUGAAAUGUUUGUGAUGAUGCAAUCUCCCCGCGGAAAGACGGAAAGACCCCAUGAACCUUUACUGUAGCUUUGUAUUGGACUUUGAACAGAUCUGUGUAGGAUAGGUGGGAGGCUUUGAAGUGUGGUCGCUAGAUCGCAUGGAGCCAACGUUGAAAUACCACCCUGGUGUGUUUGAGGUUCUAACCUAGGCCCGUAAUCCGGGUCGGGGACAGUGCAUGGUAGGCAGUUUGACUGGGGCGGUCUCCUCCCAAAGCGUAACGGAGGAGUUCGAAGGUACGCUAGGUACGGUCGGACAUCGUGCUAAUAGUGCAAUGGCAUAAGCGUGCUUAACUGCGAGACUGACAAGUCGAGCAGAUGCGAAAGCAGGACAUAGUGAUCCGGUGGUUCUGUAUGGAAGGGCCAUCGCUCAACGGAUAAAAGGUACUCUGGGGAUAACAGGCUGAUACCGCCCAAGAGUUCAUAUCGACGGCGGUGUUUGGCACCUCGAUGUCGGCUCAUCUCAUCCUGGGGCUGUAGCCGGUCCCAAGGGUAUGGCUGUUCGCCAUUUAAAGAGGUACGUGAGCUGGGUUUAAAACGUCGUGAGACAGUUUGGUCCCUAUCUUCCGUGGGCGCUGCAGAUUUGAGGAAGCCUGCUCCUAGUACGAGAGGACCGGAGUGGACACACCUCUGGUGUAUCGGUUGUCACGCCAGUGGCAUUGCCGAGUAGCUAUGUGUGGAAGAGAUAACCGCUGAAAGCAUCUAAGCGGGAAACUCGUUUCAAGAUGAGAUCUGCCGGAGCCUUGAGCCCCCUAAAGAGUCGUUCAAGACCAGGACGUUGAUAGGUCGGGUGUGGAAGCGCAGUAAUGCGUUAAGCUAACCGAUACUAAUUGCUCGUGCGGCUUGAUC